rnacentral:rRNA from 1 species
CCUACGGGGGGCAGCAGUGAGGAAUAUUGGUCAAUGGACGCGAGUCUGAACCAGCCAAGUAGCGUGAAGGAUGACUGCCCUACGGGUUGUAAACUUCUUUUAUAUAGGAAUAAAGUUCAGCACGUGUACCUUUUUGUAUGUACCUUAUGAAUAAGGAUCGGCUAACUCCGUGCCAGCAGCCGCGGUAAUACGGAGGAUCCGAGCGUUAUCCGGAUUUAUUGGGUUUAAAGGGAGCGUAGGUGGGUGGUUAAGUCAGUUGUGAAAGUUUGCGGCUCAACCGUAAAAUUGCAGUUGAUACUGGGAGUCUGGAGUGCAGCUGAGGUAGGCGGAAUUCGUGGUGUAGCGGUGAAAUGCUUAGAUAUCACGAAGAACUCCGAUUGCGAAGGCAGCUUACUAAACUGCAACUGACACUGAUGCUCGAAAGUGUGGGUAUCAAACAGGAUUAGAUACCCGGGUAGUC